CCUACGGGUGGCAGCAGUGAGGAAUAUUGGUCAAUGGACGCGAGUCUGAACCAGCCAAGUAGCGUGAAGGAUGACUGCCCUAUGGGUUGUAAACUUCUUUUAUAUGGGAAUAAACUGUUCCACGUGUGGGAUUUUGUAUGUACCAUAUGAAUAAGGAUCGGCUAAUUCCGUGCCAGCAGCCGCGGUAAUACGGAGGAUCCGAGCGUUAUCCGGAUUUAUUGGGUUUAAAGGGAGCGUAGGUGGAUUGUUAAGUCAGUUGUGAAAGUUUGCGGCUCAACCGUAAAAUUGCAGUUGAAACUGGCAGUCUUGAGUACAGUAGAGGUAGGCGGAAUUCGUGGUGUAGCGGUGAAAUGCUUAGAUAUCACGAAGAACUCCGAUUGCGAAGGCAGUUCACUGGACUGCAACUGACACUGAGGCUCGAAAGUGUGGGUAUCAAACAGGAUUAGAUACCCGUGUAGUC
rnacentral:rRNA from 1 species